rnacentral:rRNA from 1 species
GACGAACGCUGGCGGCGUGCCUAAUACAUGCAAGUCGAACGGUCUUUUCUAUGGAAGCUUGCUUCCACUGAGAAGAUAGUGGCGAACGGGUGAGUAACACGUGGGUAACCUGCCCAUAAGAGGGGGAUAACAUCCGGAAACGGGUGCUAAUACCGCAUAGUUUUCUUGAUCGCAUGAUCGAGAAAGGAAAGACGGCCUUUGUGCUGUCGCUUAUGGAUGGACCCGCGGCGUAUUAGUUAGUUGGUGAGGUAACGGCUCACCAAGACGAUGAUACGUAGCCGACCUGAGAGGGUGAUCGGCCACAUUGGGACUGAGACACGGCCCAAACUCCUACGGGAGGCAGCAGUAGGGAAUCUUCCGCAAUGGACGAAAGUCUGACGGAGCAACGCCGCGUGAGUGAAGAAGGUUUUCGGAUCGUAAAACUCUGU